rnacentral:ncRNA from 1 species
GAUCUUCAGGGCGGGGUGAAAGUCCCCACCGGCGGUAAAGCCCGCGAGCCCGCAAAGGGGUUGAUUCGGUUAGAUUCCGAAGCCGACAGUAAAGUCUGGAUGGGAGAAGGU